rnacentral:rRNA from 1 species
GACGAACGCUGGCGGCGUGGAUUAGGCAUGCAAGUCGAACGGUAUCAUCCUUUCGGGGGUGAGAGAGUGGCGAACUGGUGAGUAACACGUAGGUUAUCUACCCUCAAGACGGGGACAACCCAGGGAAACUUGGGCUAAUACCGGAUGAAAGCAGCAGUGAUGUUGUUUGAAAGGUGGCGUAAGCUGCCGUUUGGGGAUGAGCCUGCGCUCUAUUAGUUAGUUGGCGGGGUAAAGGCCCACCAAGGCGAUGAUAGAUAGGCGGCCUUAACGGGUGGUCGCCCACACUGGGAUUGAGAUACGGCCCAGACUCCUACGGGAGGCAGCAGUCGAGAAUAGUCUACAAUGGCCGAAAGGCUGAUAGUGCGACGCCGCGUGAACGAAGAAGCCCUUCGGGGUGUAAAGUUCUUUUAUAUGUGAGCAGUGCUUUCUAUGUGAACAGCAUGGGGAGAGAGAUAUUAGCAUAUGAAUAAGCAACGGCUAACUCCGUGCCAGCAGCCGC